rnacentral:lncRNA from 1 species
UAUCUCCAUUUGUUAACUUAAGUUUUUGGAUUGGUUCCCUAGAGCCAGUUGCAAAGAGCUUGGUGAUUGGUACCCGAGGUCCCAGGUUCUCGAAUCCUAGUUGAUUCACAUUUCCAGCUAAGUUUAUUUCUAAAUGAAAUAAACGAAGUGGGUAGCGUGCUAUCUGUCUCUCAAAAAAAAAUAAAAAAAAAAGUUUUUGGAUUGGUUCAAGUCAGUUAA